CACGUAGGGUGCGAGCGUUGUCCGGAAUUAUUGGGCGUAAAGAGCUCGUAGGCGGUGUGUCGCGUCGGCCGUGAAAACCUGCAGCUUAACUGUGGGCUUGCGGUCGAUACGGGCAUCACUGGAGUUCGGCAGGGGAGACUGGAAUUCCUGGUGUAGCGGUGAAAUGCGCAGAUAUCAGGAGGAACACCGGUGGCGAAGGCGGGUCUCUGGGCCGAUACUGACGCUGAGGUGCGAAAGCAUGGGGAGCAAACAGG
rnacentral:rRNA from 1 species